rnacentral:rRNA from 1 species
UACGGAGGGUGCAAACGUUGCUCGGAAUCAUUGGGCGUAAAGCGCGCGUAGGCGGCCUGGUAAGUCGGGUGUGAAAGCCCUGGGCUCAACCCAGGAAGUGCACUCGAAACUGUCAGGCUUGAAUAUGGAAGAGGGUCGCGGAAUUCCCGGUGUAGAGGUGAAAUUCGUAGAUAUCGGGAGGAACACCAGUGGCGAAGGCGGCGACCUGGGCCAAUAUUGACGCUGAGGUGCGAAAGCGUGGGGAGCAAACAGG